rnacentral:rRNA from 1 species
GAUGAACGCUAGCGGGAGGCUUAACACAUGCAAGUCGAGGGGCAGCAUAGGGUAGCAAUACUCUGAUGGCGACCGGCAAACGGGUGAGUAACGCGUAUGCAACCUACCCUGUACAGGGGGAUAACCCGGAGAAAUUCGGACUAAUAUCCCGUAAUAAUAUCCGGAGGCAUCUUUGGAUAUUUAAAGUUCCGACGGUACGGGAUGGGCAUGCGUAACAUUAACUGGUUGGUAAGGUAACGGCUUACCAAGGCUAUGAUGUUUAGGGGUCCUGAGAGGGUGGUCCCCCACACUGGUACUGAGACACGGACCAGACUCCUACGGGAGGCAGCAGUGAGGAAUAUUGGUCAAUGGGCGGAAGCCUGAACCAGCCAUGCCGCGUGCAGGAUGACGGCCCUACGGGUUGUAAACUGCUUUUCCCCGGGGCGAAUAACCCCCUCGCGACGGGGGAGUGGCCGGUACCGGGGGAACGUAGGGAGUCGGCGUAACUCCGUG